CCUACGUGAGGCAGCAGUGGGGAAUAUUGCACAAUGGGGGAAACCCUGAUGCAGCGACGCCGCGUGAGUGAAGAAGUAUUUCGGUAUGUAAAGCUCUAUCAGCAGGGACGAAAAUGACGGUACCUGAUUAAUAAGCCCCGGCUAACUACGUGCCAGCAGCCGCGGUAAUACGUAGGGGGCAAGCGUUAUCCGGAUUUACUGGGUGUAACGGGAGCGGAGACGGCAGCACAAGUCUGGAGUGAAAUGCCGGGGCUUAACCCCGGAACUGCUUUGGAAACUGUGCAGCUAGAGUGCAGGAGAGGUAAGUGGAAUUCCUGGUGUAGCGGUGAAAUGCGUAGAGAUUAGGAGGAACACCAGUGGCGAAGGCGGCUUACUGGACUGUAACUGACGUUGAGGUUCGAAAGCGUGGGGAGCAAACAGGAUUAGAUACCCUUGUAGUC
rnacentral:rRNA from 1 species